UACGGAGGGUGCAAGCAUUAUCCGGAUUCACUGGGUUUAAAGGGUGCGUAGGUGGGCAGGUAAGUCAGUGGUGAAAUCCCCGAGCUUAACUUGGGAACUGCCGUUGAUACUAUCUGUCUUGAAUAUCGUGGAGGUAAGCGGAAUAUGUCAUGUAGCGGUGAAAUGCUUAGAGAUGACAUAGAACACCAAUUGCGAAGGCAGCUUGCUACUCGAUAAUUGACACUGAGGCACGAAAGCGUGGGGAGCAAACAGG
rnacentral:misc_RNA from 1 species